UACGUAGGGUCCAAGCGUUAUCCGGAAUCACUGGGCGUAAAGCGUGCGUAGGUGGCGUGUUAAGUGUGAUGUUAAAUCGUGUGGCUCAACCAUAUCGAUGCAUCACAUACUGGCAUGCUAGAGGGAAGCAGAGGCAAGUGGAAUUGGUAGUGUAGCAGUGAAAUGCGUAGAUAUUACCAGGAACACCAAUGGCGAAGGCAGCUUGCUGGGCUUCUUCUGACACUGAGGUGCGAAAGCGUGGGGAGCAAACAGG
rnacentral:rRNA from 1 species